rnacentral:hammerhead_ribozyme from 1 species
AACUGAUCGGGAGUUGGGCUGCUCCCCUGAUGAGCCCAUGGCAGGGCGAAACCAGUG